GAGCAGGCAGAGUGUCUUACAGGCUCCAUCACUGGGCACCUGAACAGAGGCAGAGUGUCUUACAGGCUCCAUCACUGGGCACGUGAGCAGGCAGAGUGUCUUACAGGCUCCAUCACUGGGCACCUAAGCAGGCAGAGUGUCUUACAGGCUCCAUCACCGGGCGUCUAAGCAGGCAGAGUGUCUUACAGGCUCCAUCACCGGGCACGUGAGCAGACAGAGUGUCUUACAGGCUCCAUCACCGGGCGUCUAAGCAGGCAGAGUGUCUUACAGGCUCCAUCACCGGGCACAUGAGCAGGCAGAGUGUCUUACAGGCUCCAUCACCGGGCACCUGAGCAGGCAGAGUGUCUUACAGGCUCCAUCACCGGGCACCUAAGCAGGCAGAGUGUCUUAUAGGCUCCAUCACCGGGCACCUAAGCAGGCAGAGUGUCUUACAGGCUCCAUCACCGGGCACCUAAGCAGGCAGAGUGUCUUAUAGGCUCCAUCACCGGGCACCUAAGCAGGCAGCAGGCAGAGUGUCUUACAGGCUCCAUCACCGGGCACCUAAGCAGGCAGAGUGUCUUAUAGGCUCCAUCACCGGACACCUAAGCAGGCAGAGUGUCUUACAGGCUC
rnacentral:lncRNA from 1 species